GGUGCAGCUCUAUAGGAAAUGGCACUUCUGUGAUGUUCCUCAUAGUUAAGAACACAUGGAAGCUAAAGGUUUAUUUGGCAUUCUGAUGUUGGGAGUUUAGUAAUUGUAAGCAUAAAUAAGUCAGUUCAGAGCAUAUUUUGACAUCAUUUUGAAGUCUUUAAGUUGUAUAUUAAGGAGCCAUUGACAUUGAAAUUUUUGACAGCUUCACACUUUGAAGAAGCUUGUGCUAAUAGAUUUCAGCUUCUAAAAUUCACCCUACAACUGUAAUCUCAGGCAUAGCGUGAGUUCACAGGCAGUAUAUAAUGUAUUUUGACAAACAUGGUAGCUACAUCCUAAGCCAACCUAUUGCAAAAGUACUGAGAUUUUACCCAAAAAUGAAUAACUGAAUCUGGAUUGAUAUAUAUAUUUUUAAACUUGUAGAAUGGCUGCUUCUCUCCUUUAUAUAUCCUCUCAAGUAUACAUCCAGUGCAAACAGUAUUGUAAACUAUAAACUAAACUGUGUAGGAAAAUAGAGUUCUGAUUUUUAUGCAUAUUGGUUUUAUUUGUACUUUGAAAUAUCAAAUUCUUUUCAGCAAAAAAACAUUUUGGUGUUUUCUGCUUUUCUUGUCUCUUAAGCAAAGCUUAGAAUGACUGUUGAUCCAGUACUGAUCUCUGCCCUCCUGUGAGUUGGCAGCCUACCAGGGGAAAGCUGCAUAAUUGGAAGAACAGUGAGUGUGGGGGUCAGAGGUUAAACCUUAAAUAAAAUCACCAGACUGAAGGUUCCAGAUAUGAACUCUGCUACAAUAUUAUACAACCUAGUGUCCAUCUCUGGAGUGGAGUUUAAGAGUUUAUUUAAAGAAUCCUGUGUAGAUUCUAGAGAAAGCUUUCUUGCAAUUAACACCAAAGCUAAUCAUGUAUUUACUGAUUACUUCAGGGUUCAUCCUGACUAUGUCGGAAGAGCUAGGUCCAUCUUAGACAUGAAUUCCUUACAUCUGGUAGCCAGUAUUCCAAAGAUUUGGUCCUUAUGUACUUUCUCUAGCUAUUUGUUUUGUUUUUUCUUUACCUAGUGACAUGUUAAUAUUGGUAUGCGUCAAAUCACCAGAACUAGCUGUUAAAUUUCCACAGAUGUUGAGCUAUACAUUUUAUUAGUCACUCAUUUUUAUCAAAUUAUGCAAAUCAAGAAUAGUGAAAGCAAAGUACGAAGUCACACUUUAUCACUCUAAUGAUUUUGUUCCAUGUCAUUGUUAUUUUGUUUUUCUGAGUUGUGUCCAUGUGGAAACAAUAUAUAGUGAUUUGAUUUUCAACUAUGUUAUUUUGAAAUUGGGCCUUAAGGGUAUCAUUCCUACUACCAAAGUUGGCCAGUCCUCGAAGUCAGUGUUUGAUUGGUGCUUUGAUUCUUUAGAAUUAAGAAAAUGUAGGGGGAGCCGGGCAGUGGUGGCGCACACCUUUAAUCCUAGCACUUGGGAGGCAGAGGCAGGCGGAUUUCUGAGUUUGAGGACAGCCAGGGCUAUACACAGAAACCUUGUCUCGGAAAAAAAAGAAAGGAAGGAAAG
rnacentral:lncRNA from 1 species